UACGAAGGGGGCUAGCGUUGCUCGGAAUCACUGGGCGUAAAGGGUGCGUAGGCGGGUCUUUGAGUCAGGGGUGAAAUCCUGGAGCUCAACUCCAGAACUGCCUUUGAUACUGAAGAUCUUGAGUUCGGGAGAGGUGAGUGGAACUGCGAGUGUAGAGGUGAAAUUCGUAGAUAUUCGGAAGAACACCAGUGGCGAAGGCGGCUCACUGGACCGGCAUUGACGCUGAGGUGCGAAAGCGUGGGGAGCAAACAGG
rnacentral:rRNA from 1 species